UCCCACGACAAUACUUAGUCCAGAAAGAAGUCACAUCAAAUCCGACAAGUUCAUUUUAUCAGUGGUCAAGAAUGUUUAACAAGUCUUGGCUCCUACAGACAUUCCUUAAACUAUAAACAGAACAAAAUAUAAUAGAACUUCCAUCCCAAAACCACACUCAGAAGAGAAGACAUUUAAAAAGUACUCUAAAUUAAAGUUAAAUAAGUAAAUAAAACCAUUCUACAUCAGUUUUCCGUUUAACAUCUGACCUCAUUCUCCACUGUGUACACUUCUUUCCUGCACAAUAUAAGUUAGUUCAUGUUCGUCCUAUCACACCUCUUCUGUGAGGGUUUGCUGGACUUUGCAAACAUGAUAAAAACAUCACUCAAACUUCUGAACUUGAGCGAUAAGGAGAGAACAUCGAUGUCACACCCCAGAACACUGAUUGUGUAGUUGAGAAAAAACACUGUAGAAUGUAUCAACAAUGCAUGGAACACAAACAUGACGAUGGGAAUUCAGGGUGCAGGACGACCUUCGGAAACAUGUGGUUCCGUUACCUUCCACGUGUAAAGUGAGCCUUCUCAGGAACGUGCCAGAGAAGUGCCGGAACUGUGCUUUGAAGACUUUUCAGCUUGGAAGCCAUCCACCAUUGGUGAAGCCCAAGUUUUGGAGAGGCCCAUGUGGCGACGGGCUGAGGUUUCCUGCUUCCAGCCGGCACAGACUUGCCAGACCUGUGACGGAGCUGUGUGGAACAGACAAGCUUUCUUCACCAAGCCCCACCCAAAUUUCAGGUUUUUAAGCUGAAAAUAAAUGAAUUUUUAAAAUAA